GAUCCUGGCUCAGGAUGAACGCUGGCGGCGUGCCUAACACAUGCAAGUCGAACGAAGCUUGACGGAUGAUUUCUUCGGAAUGAAACCAGAUAUGACUUAGUGGCGGACGGGUGAGUAACACGUGAGCAACCUGCCUUUCAGAGGGGGAGUAACGGCUGGAAACGGUCGCUAAUACCGCAUGAUGUGUUCGGAUGGCAUCAUCUGAACAUCAAAGAUUUAUCGCUGAAAGAG
rnacentral:rRNA from 1 species